UUUUAUUUAUUUAUUUUUGCUUUGGGAAAUUAGAAAGGUAAAAUUUACAGUUGAAGGUAGGGGUGUUUCCGGUAAUUGAUUGCCACACACUUCCCAUCUCCUGAAGAACCGUCACCUACUCCCACGGUAUCCGCCUCCGCUUCUAUUCUCUGUCAAUGUGUUGCCAUUUUUCAACUAUUUUUCUUCUUGACAUAUGAUGCAUGGCUCUUUUCUUAAUCAAACCUCAACAAACUUUAACCUUUUAUUUUAGGUUAAGUGGAACUUCUCAAUCUCACAGAGAGCUGAGCAAGAGCUCACUCAGAUGGAGAGGCAGAGAAGUUUCUUCUUCAAAUCUACAAGAUUCCUGGUCUUCUCUUUCACACUCUCAUCUUCUAUAAUUUUCCUCACAUUUUUAACCGUCUGCUUAUUCAAAUCCAGCCCUUUGAUUCUCCAAGACGCAAGUUUUGAGUUCAAUACAACCUCGCUUGUGGUUCGCACACCCAUUUCUGCACAGACCCUCACCGGCUUGCCCAAUAAUUUCUCGGCGAGUGGAUUCAAAAAUUCAAUUUUGACGCAUACCCGUUUCUCAGUACAUGAAAAUGCUUCUGGGUUUGCUAGCAUUUCAAUUGGGACAGACAACGAUGAAUCUGAAACGCUAAAAGCCGAAGGCGACGGAGACAAAGAUGGUGUAUAUGGUGAUUUUACUACAGUACAAGAGAGUAUAUCAGUACCGCAAACUUCAUCUGAGGAAGGGCAAGUCACAAGAAGUAGUGAAAAGGUUGAAUAUGAGAAAAUAGAAGGAAUUUCAACAGGAAAAACCGAAGUUUCCAGGAGUGAGAAGGCUGCAGAGGAGACUAAAGUAGAUUCAAUUGAAAAAAUUGAAGCCCCGAGGGCAGAGGGAAUUGAAGAGAAGAAAGAGAGAGCAACUUCAGUUGAUAAUAUUGUAACUCCAAGGAAAGGGGGGUUUGAAGAGAAGAAAGUUAGAUUAACUAAAAUUGAUAAUAUUGAAGCUAGAAGUAAAGGCAGGAUCAUAGAUAGAAGCACAAGAGGAUGUGACGUUACAAAAGGGCGGUGGGUCUAUGAUGAAAGCUAUCCUCUUUACACGAGUAGUUCAUGUCCUUUCAUAGAUGAAGGGUUCGAUUGUGUGGGAAAUGGGAGACUGGAUAAAGAUUACAUGAAGUGGCGAUGGCAACCUCAAGAUUGUGACAUCCCAAGUAGGUUCAAUGCAACCAGAAUGCUGGAUCUAAUCAGAGGGAAAAGGCUGGUUUUUGUUGGAGAUUCAAUUAAUAGGAAUCAAUGGGAGUCCAUGCUGUGUAUGUUAAUGAGAGCUGUUAGAGAUCCCAAGAUGGUGUAUGAGACCCAUGGACGGAGAAUCACCAAGGAGAAAGGGAAUUAUUGCUUCAAAUUUGUGGAUUACAAAUGUACCGUUGAAUACUAUGUAUCACAUUUCUUGGUUCAUGAGAGCAAAGCAAGAGUAGGGAAGAAGCGGGUGCAGACCUUGCGGAUUGACGCCAUUGAUCAUGGAUCAUCAAGAUGGAGAGGAGCUGAUAUUCUAAUCUUCAACACUGCCCAUUGGUGGUCUCAUUUCAAAACAAAAGCUGGGAUCAACUACUACCAGGAGGGGAACCAAGUUUAUCCCAAGCUUGAUGUUUCCUCAGCUUUCAGAAGAGCUUUGAUGACUUGGGCCUCAUGGGUUGAUAGGCACAUCAAUUCCAGAAAGACCCAAGUUUUCUUUCGAAGUUCAUCACCUUCGCACUUCAGUGGAGGCCAAUGGAAUUCAGGUGGGCAUUGCGAGGAAGCUACAAAACCCUUAAAUAAAAUUCUUGGUGUACACGUUACUGAGAAGAAAACAAUCACAGAAGAUAUCAUCAAGCAAAUGAAAACUCCUGUUGCUUUUUUGAACAUUACUAGUUUAUCAGAAUUUCGGAUAGAUGGUCAUCCAUCCAAAUACGGGAAAAAACCUUUAAAUCACUAUGCUUCAAGUGGUCAAGAUUGCAGCCAUUGGUGUCUUCCUGGCGUGCCUGAUACCUGGAAUGAGAUUCUUUACUCCGAGCUCUUAAUAAACGAAUACCAAAAGCGGCAAGUCCACAAGAGACACAGGUAAAUAAAACAGCACAAAUUUUAGAUGCUGCAGUUGAAAUAUGAAGUAGAAAUUAUAAAUGCAUACGCAUAGUUUUUUUUUUCCCCUCAUCAAUUUUGGGUUAUAGAAAGAAAAGAAACCAAAUGGGAAAGAUCCAAGAAAUAGUGUUGCUCUCAUCAACCAUGAGAGGUCACGCAGCAAGG
rnacentral:misc_RNA from 1 species